CUUUAUCUAAUGGCUGGAAAAAGAAGGCGCAUAUGAUCAUGGUGGGGUCCCAUAGUCAAAGGCCAAAGUCAUCCAAUCUGAGGGAUAGAGAUGUGCGGGAUGUAGUCUAUGUGAGUCAUUUUUUCAUUUUUUCCCUCUCUCUUCAGAUUGUUCUCUCCUCUCUCUUCAACCACAAACACAGUCUCAAUAUUUAUUUUUAACUUUUUUAGAUCUAGUACGGUGGUCGGGGAAGAACUGAAGAUGAACAUAUGAAUGUUCAUCUUCUUGAUUUCCAAGUUCCGGCCCAAACUCACCCAAAUUGAAAUCUAACAACACAAAUCCCCCUCCAUUUUUUCUUCUUAACGCGAAUUCAACAACCAAAUAACCAAAACAAACAUAAUCAAAGCAUGUCAACUUUAUUCCCAAACAAAAUCCUAACCCCUUUUUUUCAAUGAUUUUUCACAAAUUACAACAUAUUAAAGUAAUUUAAAGCAUUAGAAUAACAUAUGUGCAAGGAAAUAGGUAAAUAGAUAUGAAAAUAAUGGAGAAAGACACCUUGCCGAAAAUUGGAAUUUCCAAUUUUCCUACGAGAACUUCGGCGAAGCCUCCAACCUUCAGGGGAUAGCCCUAAACUUUGGUGAUAAGGUUUAGAGGGAUUUUAUGCAGAGUUUUACUAGGGAUUUUUAUGUGUGUGUAAUGAGUGAGUGAAGGGUCACUUUUAUAGGGGUAGAUUGAGAGUGAAGUGGAACUUAUGUGGAAGAUUUUGGGAGACAGAAAGAAGGUGUGUGAAGUGGUGAUGAAUUUUAUGGCCCUAGAGUGAGUUGUGCAUGAUCAAGGGAGGUGAGCAAAGUGUGACUUGGGGAUGUAUAGGAUGUAUGGAAGGGCAUAGAUGGUAUCGACAUUGUAAUUCUGCUAUGUAAUUCACGUGUAUCAUGUAAUGAAAAGGAUCUUAUUCAAUUGAGUUCAAAUUAUUUUUCUUUUA